rnacentral:SRP_RNA from 1 species
CCGUGCUAGACGGGGAGGUAGCGGUGCCCUGUAACUCGCAAUCCGCUAUAGCGAGGUUGAAUUCCUGUUAGAGGUUUUGUUGAUGUGAGGCUUGGUAUUCGUCUUUGGUGUUGACGGCCGGGUCCUUCGCAAUGGAUACCUAUGAAUCUGGUCAGGUCCGGAAGGAAGCAGCCAUAAGUAGGGUUUUUCAUGUGCCGGAGGAAGCCUGACCUGAGCUGUAAGACGAAGGUGCCGCUCGGAUCACAAUUAUCAAUAACAGGUGCACGG